UAUUGCUUCCCGCUAAUGUUCCAUCGGAGGGUAGGAUAGUAGUAAUUUUAGAAGGUGGUAUUCCUGUUUGUCUUACAUCGAAAACUUCAGAAUAAAUAAAAAGAAACAUCAAUUGAACGAGAAAUGUAACUAUGGAAAAGUACCAAUGAAUCUAAUUCUGAAUAGAAGAGAUACUCAAACAGUAUGGGUGUAAGAGUGUUUCCAAGGACCCUGCCAGCUUCUGCAAAGGGAGCUGCCUAGAGAGACUGGAUUGAUCAGGUUGAAACCAUCUUGCACUUUGAAAAGAGAUAAGAGAAGAACUGGUUAUGGGAAAAAUAUAAUCACAAUAAAGAAAAGAUACCCACCAUUAAGAAAUUGACUCAAGUAUACUUCUUGCUGAUGACCCAGUUCCUGUUUGACUUCAUUGACAAGAGUUCAAGAGCUAUA